GACGAACCGUGCGAACGUUGUUCGGAAUCACUGGGCUUAAAGGGCGCGUAGGCGGGUUCGCAAGUCUGUGGUGAAAGCCUCCAGCUUAACUGGAGAAGUGCCAUGGAUACUGCGCAUCUUGAGGAGGGUAGGGGCGUCUGGAACGGUCGGCGGAGCGGUGAAAUGCGUUGAUAUCGACCGGAACUCCGGUGGCGAAGGCGAGGCGCUGGACCCUUUCUGACGCUGAGGCGCGAAAGCCGGGGGAGCAAACGGG
rnacentral:rRNA from 1 species